rnacentral:rRNA from 1 species
GACGAACGCUGGCGGCGUGCUUAACACAUGCAAGUCGAACGGAAAGGCCCUUCUUUUGUGGUGUGCUCGAGUGGCGAACGGGUGAGUAACACGUGAGUAACCUGCCCUUGACUUUGGGAUAACUUCAGGAAACUGGAGCUAAUACCGGACAGGAGCCCCUGCUGCAUGGUGGGGGUUGGAAUGUUUCGGCGGUUGGGGAUGGACUCGCGGCUUAUCAGCUUGUUGGUGGGGUAGUGGCUUACCAAGGCUUUGACGGCUAGCCGGCCUGAGUGGGUGACCGGCCACAUUGGGACUGAGAUACGGCCCAGAGUGCUACGGGAGGCAGCAGUGGGGAAUAUUGCACAAUGGGCGGGAGCCUGAGGCAGCAACGCCGCGUGCGGGAUGACGGCCUUCGGGUUGUAAACCGCUUUCGCCUGUGACGAAGCGUGAGUGACGGUAAUGGGUAAAGAAGCACCGGCUAACUACGUG